CCUACGGGCGGCAGCAGUGGGGAAUAUUGGACAAUGGGGGGAACCCUGAUCCAGCCAUGCCGCGUGUGUGAAGAAGGCCCUCGGGUUGUAAAGCACUUUCAGUGAGGAAGAACGCCUGGUGGUUAAUACCCAUCAGGAAAGACAUCACUCACAGAAGAAGCACCGGCUAACUCCGUGCCAGCAGCCGCGGUAAUACGGAGGGUGCGAGCGUUAAUCGGAAUUACUGGGCGUAAAGCGCGCGUAGGUGGCUUGAUAAGCCGGUUGUGAAAGCCCCGGGCUCAACCUGGGAACGGCAUCCGGAACUGUCAAGCUAGAGUGCAGGAGAAGAAGGUAGAAUUCCCGGUGUAGCGGUGAAAUGCGUAGAGAUCGGGAGGAAUACCAGUGGCGAAGGCGGCCUUCUGGACUGACACUGACACUGAGGUGCGAAAGCGUGGGUAGCAAACAGGAUUAGAUACCCGAGUAGUC
rnacentral:rRNA from 1 species